UUGACGUUUUACGCUUUGCCGUCCAGUUUGACGCCGCCAUUGGACGCCACCCUAACCAGUUGAUCUUUUAUGAAUUUUGAUUUUAUUGAGUUGGCGCGAUUCUCUGCUCAGAAUUUUAUUUGCAAAAGGACUUAAUACAGAAUAUAAACAUCACUUAUUUUAAAACAUUGUGAAUCAAUGGACAGGUUUUCUAUUAAGGUCAGGAUUCGUGAAAAACCUUAAAUUUGCCAGUGUCGAUUAAAUGGACUGAUCCACAUCCUAAUAUAUAAAAGGCUCUCAAACAAAUAAUCGAGAGCAUGAAACCCGUCAGAAAAAUGAUGUGAUUCUAAAAAAGAUCUACAACGCCCUCCCAUAGAGGACUUGAAAGAAGAAAUUUCACUCUCAUUAAAAGAGAACGCUCGAAAGGCUGUAGGAUCCCAGAUCCCGUGAAUCAAUACACAAUUCUUAUAAAAACCAAGAAGAUUUUUUAAAAAACCACAUCUCAAAAGUGCUGAAAGCUGUUCGGUUCGAAUGAAAUAGAUUCUGGUUAUUUUGGCGAGGGCGAAAGUGACUGAAAUCGAAAAUCAUGGUCCUUUUAACUCUCCAUCAGGCGCCUGUAUAUCGGAGAAUUUGUCGGGCUUCUCAGUAGCUGCCUAUUUUAGACAAUUCAUUCCGAUUAGGA